rnacentral:rRNA from 1 species
UACGGGGGGGGCAAGCGUUGUUCGGAAUUACUGGGCGUAAAGGGCUCGUAGGCGGCCAACUAAGUCAGACGUGAAAUCCCCAGGCUCAACCUGGGAACUGCGUCUGAUACUGGAUGGCUUGAAUUCGGGAGAGGGAUGCAGAAUUCCAGGUGUAGCGGUGAAAUGCGUAGAUAUCUGGAGGAAUACCGGUGGCGAAGGCGGCAUCCUGGACCGACAUUGACGCUGAUGAGCGAAAGCGUGGGGAGCAAGCAGG